GCCCACUUGGUCUAGUAGAAUGAUACCUCAUUUGGGCUAUUAUAAGCAUAGUUUGAGGUGGUCGUCGGUUCAAUUCCGGCAGUGGGCC